rnacentral:rRNA from 1 species
UUAACCGGAUUAGAUACCCUGGUAGUCCACGCCGUAAACGAUGUCGACUUGGAGGUUGUGCCCUUGAGGCGUGGCUUCCGGAGCUAACGCGUUAAGUCGACCGCCUGGGGAGUACGGCCGCAAGGUUAAAACUCAAAUGAAUUGACGGGGGCCCGCACAAGCGGUGGAGCAUGUGGUUUAAUUCGAUGCAACGCGAAGAACCUUACCUGGUCUUGACAUCCACAGAACUUUCCAGAGAUGGAUUGGUGCCUUCGGGAACUGUGAGACAGGUGCUGCAUGGCUGUCGUCAGCUCGUGUCGUGAAAUGUUGGGUUAAGUCCCGCAACGAGCGCAACCCUUAUCCUUUGUUGCCAGCGGUCCGGCCGGGAACUCAAAGGAGACUGCCAGUGAUAAACUGGAGGAAGGUGGGGAUGACGUA